UACAGAGACUGCAAGCGUUAUUCGGAUUCACUGGGCGUAAAGGGCGCGCAGGCGGCCAAGUGUGUUAGGCGUGAAAGCCUGAGGCUUAACCUCAGAAUUGCACCUAAAACUACAUGGCUAGAGCAUUGGAGAGGGUAGCGGAAUUCACGGUGUAGCAGUGAAAUGCGUAGAUAUCGUGAGGAACACCAGAGGCGAAGGCGGCUGCCUGGACAAUUGCUGACGCUCAGGCACGAAAGCGUGGGGAGCAAAAGGG
rnacentral:rRNA from 1 species